AUCUCACCCCAGCACUUCGCGCUAUGGUAGGGAUCUUAUUGAGCAUGAAUGGAUAUUCUAAUGUGUCAUGUGAACAAUGUAUAUAUCUAUUUUUCGUCAUUAAUUAAGUGAGAUAUAAUCUAAAUUUAUAUAAAAAAAAUUAAAAGUAAAUGCAAAACAUUCACAUGAGAAAAUAGAUGAAAAGGUCAAGUCUUGUAUAAAGCAUAUGCCUAUUGACAAUUCUAAUUAUGUGCUCAAAGUAACGUACGACUCACAAUAUGUUGAAAGUUUAUUGCACUCUAUUUUAAUCAAUGUCUAAUGUGGUUGUUCCUAUGAUGAUGAAUCUAUCAACACGCGCGUAAUUUGCGUACAAAAAAAGAAAAAGAAAAUUAAAGUAUAGUGAUUUUUUUAGAUCUCCCUUAACUUGUUUAUAUGUUGAUGCAGGAAGAAAUUGGGAACGUGCCACGUGCUACCAUUUAUAUUCUCUAACGCUGACAAGAAUAAAAAGUUAAUUAGCAUGUGCUCUCUGCCUUACUUCAAAUAAUUUGGGGGAGGAAAGAGACAAAGGACCACACUUGUCCCUUUUUCCAUAUACGCCUCUCAUUCUUUUGUUAGCCAUCUGACUGAGACAAGUGUGCGAGCGGGGAAUUCUGAUGUGUAUGGAUUUCUCGAGCCACAGUCCAUUCAGAGAUCUGGGCAAUCACAAUUUGAAUCCGAAAGUUACACCAAGAGUUGGAUACAGAGUUCAAAACAAGAUGCUUACCUUGGAGCCUACCUGAAUGGCGGACACUAGCAAAUGGUCGUCAUUCUGCCUAAGGAAAACCUAGUUGUCUGG